rnacentral:tRNA from 1 species
CAGAAACUAGGAGAUUCUAACUCCUGCUUAGGACUUUGAAGGUCCUUGGUCUUAUUAUCCUAAGUUUCU